CGAGAGGAAACAUGAGCGUCAAAGGAAAGGGAAUGCAGAUGACGUACUGGUUGGGUGGAAAGAAAAACUACGACAAACCUCUACCAAAGAUCACAGAGCCCAUAUAUAGACUGGCAGACACCGACAACGAAAACGGAAAUGGCAACGGGCACGGAAGCGCUGCGGAGGCAAAAGACAAAGAUGUCACUGAAACCAAUAAAGGAAUCAAAGUUAUAUAAGUUAUAACGGUAGGGCGUGCCUGCGUGUGUUCGUGUGUUCGUGCGCGCGUGUGUGUAGUAGUAGCUGUAGUACAUUGUCAUCACUGUAUAUUAGCUUGUUUCUACCUGCCAUUGUGAGAGGCGAAUCGUUUCAUAGAGAUUGAUAUCCGAUAAAAAAAAAAGGUAGUUAUAACACUACGUAAGCAAUUAAAGGCUUACUACCCCAAGUUUACCUGUGAUUUAUCAAGUGUAACUAAAUCAAAUGAUCCCUGAUAGUUGCAUUAUCUAUUCAACAUGUGUAUGGCAUCUCGUUGUGUUUAUAUCUAUCGUAUAGUGACAUAAUUUUGCGAGCGGACUAGUGUAUUAUUACCAGCAAAAACAAAUUUCUUCGGUGUUCGUCAUAG